AGUUAGGAAGCUUUACUAGGCAAGCAUGUGUUUUGAAAACACAAGAAAGGAGUUAAAAACCCCUACUAACUU
rnacentral:tRNA from 1 species